GGCCAGACUCCUACGGGAGGCAGCAGUGAGGAAUAUUGGUCAAUGGGCGCGAGCCUGAACCAGCCAAGUCGCGUGAGGGAUGACGGUCCUACGGAUUGUAAACCUCUUUUGCCGGGGAGCAAGCGUGCGUUCGUGAACGCGCGUCGAGAGUACCCGGAGAAAAAGCAUCGGCUAACUCCGUGCCAGCAGCCGCGGUAAUACGGAGGAUGCGAGCGUUAUCCGGAUUUAUUGGGUUUAAAGGGUGCGUAGGCGGUUUGAUAAGUUAGAGGUGAAAUACCGGUGCUCAACACCGGAACUGCCUCUAAUACUGUUGAACUAGAGAGUAGUUGCGGUAGGCGGAAUGUAUGGUGUAGCGGUGAAAUGCUUAGAUAUCGCGCAGAACCCCGAUUGCGAAGGCAGCGUACCGGCUCCACACUGACGCUGAGGCACGAAAGCGUGGGUAUCGAACAGGAUUAGAUACCCGUGUA
rnacentral:rRNA from 1 species